rnacentral:rRNA from 1 species
AUUGAACGCUGGCGGCAGGCCUAACACAUGCAAGUCGAACGAGUGGCGGACGGGUGAGUAAUGUCUGGGAAACUGCCCGAUGGAGGGGGAUAACUACUGGAAACGGUAGCUAAUACCGCAUACCAUCGGAUGUGCCCAGAUGGGAUUAGCUAGUAGGUGGGGUAACGGCUCACCUAGGCGACGAUCCCUAGCUGGCAUGAGUGGAUGACCAUCCACACUGUAACUGAGAAACAGUCCAGAGUCCUAGGGGAGGCAGCAGUGGGGGAUGUUGCACUGUGGGCGCAAGCCGGAUGCAGCCAUGCCGCGUGUAUGAAGAAGGCCUUCGGGUUGUAAAGGACUUUCAGCGAGGAGGCGUUACUCGCAGAAGAAGCACCGGCUAACUCCGUGCCAGGAGCCGAAGGAAAAC